rnacentral:rRNA from 1 species
GAAACGACUGCUAAGACUGGAUAGGAGACAAGAAGGCAUCUUCUUGUUUUUAAAAGACCUAGCAAUAGGUAUGCUUAGGGAGGAGCUUGCGUCACAUUAGUUAGUUGGUGGGGUAAAGGCCUACCAAGACUAUGAUGUGUAGCCGGGCUGAGAGGUUGAACGGCCACAUUGGGACUGAGACACGGCCCAAACUCCUACGGGAGGCAGCAGUAGGGAAUUUUCGGCAAUGGAGGAAACUCUGACCGAGCAACGCCGCGUGAACGAUGAAGUAUUUCGGUACGUAAAGUUCUUUUAUUAGGGAAGAAUAAAUGAUGGAAAAAUCAUUCUGACGGUACCUAAUGAAUAAGCCCCGGCUAACUAUGUGCCAGCAGCCGCGGUAAUACAUAGGGGGCAAGCGUUAUCCGGAAUUAUUGGGCGUAAAGGGUGCGUAGGCGGUUAAAUAAGUUUAUGGUCUAAGUGCAAUGCUCAACAUUGUGAUGCUAUAAAAACUGUUUAGCUAGAGUAAGAUAGAGGCAAGUGGAAUUCCAUGUGUAGUGGUAAAAUGCGUAAAUAUAUGGAGGAACACCAGUAGCGAAGGCGGCUUGCUGGGUCUUUACUGACGCUGAGGCACGAAAGCGUGGGGAGCAAACAGGAUUAGAUACCCUGGUAGUCCACGCCGUAAACGAUGAGUACUAAACGUUGGGUAAAACCAGUGUUGAAGUUAACACAUUAAGUACUCCGCCUGAGUAGUACGUACGCAAGUAUGAAACUUAAAGGAAUUGACGGGACUCCGCACAAGCGGUGGAUCAUGUUGUUUAAUUCGAAGGUACCCGAAAAACCUCACCAGGUCUUGACAUGCUUCUGCAAAGCUGUAGAAACACAGUGGAGGUUAUCAGUUGCACAGGUGGUGCAUGGUUGUCGUCAGCUCGUGUCGUGAGAUGUUGGGUUAAGUCCCGCAACGAGCGCAACCCUUAUUGUUAGUUACCAGCACGUAAUGGUGGGGACUUUAGCAAGACUGCCAGUGAUAAAUUGGAGGAAGGUGGGGACGACGUCAAAUCAUCAUGCCCCUUAUGACCUGGGCUACAAACGUGAUACAAUGGCUGUUACAAAGGGUAGCUGAAGCGCAAGUUUUUGGCGAAUCUCAAAAAAACAGUCUCAGUUCGGAUUGAAGUCUGCAACUCGACUUCAUGAAGUGGAAUCGCUAGUAAUCGCGAAUCAGCAUGUCGCGGUAAUACAUUUCUCGGGGUUUGUCACACCGCCCGUCA